CCGAGUUUACAACUCCCAAACCCCUGUGAACAUACCUAUUAUGUUGCCUCGGCGGAUCAGCCCGCGCCCCGUAAAACGGGACGGCCCGCCGCAGGAACCCUAAACUCUGUUUUUAGUGGAACUUCUGAGUAUAAAAAACAAAUAAAUCA
rnacentral:misc_RNA from 1 species